rnacentral:rRNA from 1 species
UACGGGGGGGAGCAAGCGUUGUUCGGAUUUACUGGGCGUAAAGGGCUCGUAGGCGGCCAACUAAGUCGGACGUGAAAUCCCUCGGCUUAACCGGGGAACGGCGUCCGAUACUGGAUGGCUUGAGUUUGGGAGAGGGAUGCGGAAUUCCAGGUGUAGCGGUGAAAUGCGUAGAUAUCUGGAGGAAUACCGGUGGCGAAGGCGGCAUCCUGGACCGACAUUGACGCUGAGGAGCGAAAAGCUAGGGGAGCAAACGGG